rnacentral:misc_RNA from 1 species
GAUGAAGAACGUAUCGAAAUGCGAUAAGUAGUGUGAAUUGCAGAAUUCAGUGAAUCAUCGAAUCUUUGAACGCACAUUGCGCCCCUUGGUAUUCCAUGGGGCAUGCCUGUUCGAGCGUCAUUUGUACCUUCAAGCUUUGCUUGGUGUUGGGUGUUUGUCUCGCCUUUGCGUGUAGACUCGCCUUAAAAUAAUUGGCAGCCGGCGUAUUGAUUUCGGAGCGCAGUACAUCUCGCGCUUUGCACUCAUAACGACAGCGUCCAAAAGUACAUUUUACACUCUUGACCUCGGAUCAGGUAGGGAUACCCGCUGAACUUAAGCAUAUCAAUAAGCGGAGGA